UUAAGUAAGAAAGUUGUACCUCACAGCAACACUCAAAAGUGAUGGUAAAAAGAUAAAGUUUAUUAAAGAUUAUUGGAUCAGUGUAUUAGCAGUGGUACAAGCCUUUGCAACCAAGGCAAAAUCACAUAAAGCAAGGAUAAAAAUAUAAAAUGUUUGGCAACUCCAUAGCUAUUAUCAGGAUUUAAAUUAUGUCCUAAUUUCUUAUUAAUUAAACUUUAUUGUCAUUUGAGUUUAGAAAAUUAAUGGAUUGAAGAUUAUUAUUAGUACUGACCAAUGUGCUGGUUGAAGAAAUGAGAAUACUUUAUAAACAAAUUAGGUUGUAUUUUGGGGAAAAUUGAAAUCUUAAACGGUAGGUUGACAAUGGCUGAGUAUGCAAAUUCAUCCUUAAAGAUUUAUAGUUUCAGUAUUCAUGUAAUUCUUCACCAACAUUUGAUAGGAAAUGAUAGAUCCAAAAAUAAAUUAUAGGCUAAAUCCACACAAAUAUCAUUACACUAAUUAUAAAAUGCAAUUUAUAUGACAUGUAUGUAUUGUAUGUAAUGUCAUAACCUCUUUCCUGGAUAUUUACUAGAGUUGAAGUGUCUUAAAUUAUCAAACAAUGCAACAAGAUUAUAUGAAACACAUUACAAUUUAAGAUUUUCAAUUUAUUUAGAAAACACAAAUAUCAUCGCUCACAAAACUUCAUGGCAUAUGGUGUUUGUGUAUAUUUUAUUAACAACUAUCAUCACUCAUCUCACAGCAGAGUUGUCGAUAGUAGAUGAAAGUGGAGGAAGCAUUGAUAGCGAUGAUAUAGCAGGGGGCUACUCAAACUUAAAGAAGACGAUGAAGAGCAGUGACAGUAGUAGCAUUGGGUAAUGAAGACGAAAGCAGUGCUGGCUGCUAGGGAAUGAAGAUGAAGAUUGUUUGUCGGCACGGUGACGGUAGUAUGCAAAGUUGGAUAAAGAUUUUAGAAACUAUGGUUCGAUACUUUGAUUUUUUUUAGUUUUAAUUUGUAGGGAUGGCAAUGGAGCAAAUAUGGAUUGAAUUUACUCUGCAUCAGAUCCAGAUCCAUAAUAAAAAUUAAGAUCUACAGCUGCUCCAGAUCCGUCAUGAUCUAUAUUUUUCGCUCCAUAUCUAGAUCCGAAACAAAAAAUAAAGAUCUAUAUCUGCUCCAAAUCCAAAAAGAAAAAUUAAAAUCUAAAUCAGCUCUAAAUC
rnacentral:lncRNA from 1 species